rnacentral:misc_RNA from 1 species
AAGUCGUAACAAGGUAACCGUAGGUGAACCUGCGGUUGGAUCAUUACCAAUAAUAAAAAAACAAUUAAGAACGGACGUAGCGUGAACGGAGGCUUGUCUGGGGGUGAGGCUGGCCGAGCAGAAGCUUGUCUGGUCUCCGGGGGAACCCAGCGGGCCGAAGGGAGCGUGAACCGUUCCAAAACAAAAACCACAAUGUGAAUCGUGCUGUCCCUGGCGGCGGGGGCAAAGUCCAGGGGAACCCCUGUGCUUUGGCCCGUCAGCCUGCGUGGUUUCCGCCAGGAAACCUGCGGGCCGUGGACAAACCGCCAACCAUGUCAGUAAACAAUUUUUUCUAUUGUCUGACUCAAUCUUUCUUUGAGACUAGUCUAGUCACAAAGAGAACAAUUUAAAACAUUAAACAACUUUUGGCAACGGAUCUCUUGGCUCUC